UUAGGGAAUUUUGACAAUGGGCGCAAGCCUGAUCGAGUGACGCCGCGUGCGGGACGACGCCUCUCGGGGUGUAAACCGCUUUUCCCGGGGGCGAGGCCGGACGGUACCCGGGGAAGAAGCAUCGGCUAACUACGUGCCAGCAGCCGCGGUAAUACGUAGGAUGCGAGCGUUGUCCGGAAUCACUGGGCGUAAAGCGCGCGUAGGCGGCGCCCUGCGUCGGCGGUGAAAGCUCCCGGCUCACCCGGGAGAGGGCCGCCGAAACGGGGGCGCUCACGAGGGCGGUAGGGGCUGGCGGAACACCCGGAGUAGCGGUGAAAUGCGUUGAGAUCGGGUAGAACACCGGUGGCGAAGGCGGCCAGCUGGGCCGACCCUGACGCUGAGGCGCGAAAGCCAGGGGAGCGAACGGAAUUAGAUACCCCCGUAGUCC
rnacentral:rRNA from 1 species